CACCGUUUCAGUGGCAUUUAAAUCCCCGGCGCUCCUCUGUCUAGGUGACGCGCAGCAGCCCCCCCAGGCAGCCCAGGCGACGGCAGCAGCUGCAGCGGCUGCAACGACAGAUUCCGAGCGCUGGG
rfam:Spermophilus tridecemlineatus cont1.071854, whole genome shotgun sequence.